rnacentral:rRNA from 1 species
GACGAACGCUGGCGGCGUGCUUAACACAUGCAAGUCGAACGGAAAGGCCCUGCUUGCAGGGUACUCGAGUGGCGAGCGGGUGAGUAACACGUGGGUGAUCUGCCCUGCACUUCGGGAUAAGCCUGGGAAACUGGGUCUAAUACCGGAUAGGAGCCAUCCUUAGUGUGAUGGUUGGAAAGUUUUUUUGGUGUAGGAUGAGCUCGCGGCCUAUCAGCUUGUUGGUGGGGUAAUGGCCUACCAAGGCGGCGGCGGGUAGCCGGCCUGGGAGGGUGGACGGCCACAUUGGGGCUGGGAUACGGCCCAGACUCCUGCGGGAGGCAGCAGGGGGGAAUAUUGCACAAUGGGCGCGAGCCUGAUGCAGCGACGCCGCGUGGGGGAUGACGGCCUUCGGGUUGGAAACUCCUUUCGCUAGGGACGAAGCUUUUUGUGACGGUACCUAGAUAAGAAGCACCGGCUAACUACGUG